rnacentral:rRNA from 2 species
CUCAGAUCAUGUAAGAUUUUAAUGAUCGAACAGAUCAAAAUUUUAAACUUUUGCAUUUAAAUUUUAUCUUAAUCCAACAUCGAGGUCGCAAACUUUUUUUUUUAUUUGAGCUAAAAAAAAAUAUUACGCUGUUAUCCCUAAGGUAAUUUUUUCUUAUAAUCAUUAUUAAUGGAUCAUUUAAUCAUUUAUUUAUGUUUAAUUUUUAAAAAAAGUUAAUUUAAUUUUUCUAUCACCCCAAUAUAAUAAUUAAUUUUAUUUUAAUAAAAAUUUUUAUAUAAUUUUAAAAUAAAAAUAAAUAUAAAACUCUAUAGGGUCUUCUCGUCUUUUAAAAUUAAUUUAGCUUUUUAACUAAAAAAUAAACUUCUAAAAAUAAAUAAGAGACAGUUUAUAUUUCAUCAAAUCUUUCAUACAAGUUUUCAAUUAAAAAACUAUUGAUUAUGCUACCUUUGUACAGUCAUUAUACUGCAGCCCUUUAAUUAUUAUCAGUGGGCAGAUUAGACCUUAAAUUAUAUUCAAAAAGACAUGUUUUUG